GGGCCCGCACAAGCGGUGGAGCAUGUGGUUUAAUUCGAUGAUACGCGAGGAACCUUACCAGGGCUUAAAUGUACGUUGCAUUAGUUAGAGAUAGCUAUUUCUUCGGACUACGUACAAGGUGCUGCAUGGUUGUCGUCAGCUCGUGCCGUGAGGUGUCAGGUUAAGUCCUAUAACGAGCGCAACCCCCUGUUGUUAGUUGCCAGCGAGUGAUGUCGGGAACUCUAACAAGACUGCCGGUGCAAACCGUGAGGAAGGUGGGAUGACGUCAAAUCAUCACGGCCCUUACGUCCUGGGCUACACACGUGCUACAAUGGCCGGUACAGAGAGCAGCCACACCGUGAGGUGGAGCGAAUCUUCAAAGCCGGUCUC
rnacentral:rRNA from 1 species